UAGGCGCAACGGAUGGCUCCACAUCGGCUAUCAAUAGUGCAGAGCUAAAAGCAGUGAGCCAGCGCGAAUAGCGAGAGAGAAAAAACGAAGUGGACCGAGCUAGCAGCGACACAAAAGCAGACCUAACCCGCGUCUUUCCGAGCCCUCCCUGCCACCGCCGCCACCCCUCUCCUCUGCCCAGCACCUCCUCCUCCCCUUCCUCUCCUCCUUCCCUGCCUCCGGAUCCAGACCAUGUGACCGGAGUUCAGCGGCAGAGCCCCCAGCCCCGCGCCGGAGUUCAGGGGCAGGGCGGAGCAAAUAGCCGGGCCGACGCCAGGGUUCGGCCCCGGCCCCAAGGGGAGUUGGUGAUGGCGUCGUGAGAGGCUAGGGCCUGUAGAGCCCCCAGCCCCGCACCGGAGUUCAGCGGCAGGGGCGGAGCGAAUAGCCGGGCCGAGCCGGGCCGACGCCCAGGUUCGGCCCCGGCCCCCAGGGGAGUUGGCGGCGGCGUCGUGAGAGGCUAGGGCCUCCUCCCUGUGAAAGGCAACUGCGCUUGUCCUCGGCAGCGGCGAUCUAGGCACCGGUCCAGGGUGAUUUACCUCUUGAAGCCUCUUUCAGAUUGUUCCAAUUCAGUCCCCUCUCAGUUUGUGCUAAAAGAAAGUUCUUAUUAGGGAUUUGAGUUUAUCCUUUUAACGUGUGCUUGUGCUAGAGCAUCGGCGCUCUCUCGGCUACGCCUGGGUGUUCGAGCUGUCAGUGUGUACAGGAGCAGCAGCCACCACCGCUGCCAAGGAGCUCCAUCAAUCACGUGCUCACUCUUGCUUCACAGACUAUGUAUGGUCAGUUCAGGUUCCAACUUUCCAAGCUACAAGUCGAUGACUGUAACUGUCCCAAGAGGCUAGAAGAUAUCAUGACUUCUUUCUUAGUAGCAGAGCUUACGCUCUUCUGUUUUCUUUGAUACUUUUGAACCCAAAAAAUUGGACCAGUCGCUGUAGAUUUUUAAAUCACAGCUUUGUGGAGAAUAUACACUUUUUUGGGACAUUAAUAGAAGUGUGCUCCUCGCUCAUUUAUUGUACUCCUGUUACUCCUAUCAGAUUUCGACAUUUGUAAACAUGGCUGCGUUCCAGUAUUGAUAAGAAUUCAAGUUCUUGUGUUAUGUUAUGAACAUACCAUACCAAUUUGUUAUGUACCAUACCAACAUACAUACAAUUCAAGCUCCAAGCACACGUUUUCAUUGUGGUAACCAUAAGAAAUUUUACAUUGGAUGGUGAAUUUCAAAAUUAUUUUGUUUGGAUUCUGAAUCAUGCUAGGCAAUGCCGUCUUUGUUAUAAUUUGUUAUAUUGUACACACAGUUCCCUAAGAUUCUCUGGUGGUUUAUUCUAUUAUAAAGCCAGCAAAAGAAGCUGGGGAAGGGAAUUUUUUAAGGACAAGAGAAAAGCCAUGAGUUGUUUUGCUGAGAAAAGAAACAAGUAAUAUCGCAUUCUGAAGGUUCAUUUCCUUAUAUAUGGGUGAGGAGUCCUUAAAAUUGUAAGCAUUGCAGUUUUCUAACCAUGUACAUGGGUGGUACGCAGCUAAGCACUCGAGCUAUGCUUAUUGUUGUACUCCCUCUGUAAACUAAUAUAAGAGCGUUUAGAUCACUAUUUUAGUAUUCUAAACGCUCUUAUAUUAGUUUACGGAGGGAGUAUGUAUGGAUUAAUAGUGGUAAUCACUGUUUGGUUCAGGCCUUGAGCAGCUAAGCUAACUCAAAUGUGUACGCUCAUUCAAAGUAACUGAUUUACCUAAAGAACUUGAUUAAUGAUCAAGUGUGCAUUUUGUAUGCAUUGGAAUUAGAUUCAGAAUGCAUGAUGAUUGGUUUCUUUUGUGUUCAUAUAGGAAGUAGCUUCUCAUCCACCAACUUUUUUUGGGUGCGUUGUGCCGAGGAAAUCUUAUGCUUCCGUGCGUACAUUUCGGUUGUGUUUGUCUAGAGUUUUUUUUCCUUACAGGACAAAAUAUUCUUAUUUACUUUGAUUCAUCUAUUUGUAGCAAAAAACUAUUUCUUCGUGCAUAAAUUUGUUGUGUUCAUUGUUCAGGUAAAAUGCGUGAGACUGUCGUUUUUGUAUUGGCUUCAAUGGAGGAUGAUUUGCUGUGUAUGUUUCAUUUGCCAUCAAGGCCAUCAUAACGUCCACUCAUGUCUAAUCCUAAUGGUGAAAUGAGUGAGCCAAUCCAUCUGUAUCGGCUUUAAGGGAGCAGUCUUAUUUCAAUUGCCAUCAAGGCGAUCACGACAACGACUCAUCUUUAUUCCUGAUGGUGAACCGAUUUUGACUGUUGUUUAUGGUUCUGAAAAUGAUUGCUGGGGAAGGAGGACCAUUCGUAAUUUGGCCUCAAGGACAUGCUCUGUGCAGGUUGCGACCUUCCUUCCCUCCUCUUACUGGUUUGCUUUUAGUAUUAUUAAACUGCACGGCACAGAAGAUUUUUUUUGGUUAUGCCUAGACCUGAAUGUUUUGGGGGUGAUGCAGCUACACUGACAGAUGAAUAUUUGUAGAGAAAUGUCUUGGAAAUUGCAAGUAGAUGGCUACUCUACACUGGCAGAUGCUUACUAAUUUGUAACAAUAAGAUCAAGUCGCAUGUCAUAUGUCGAUUCUCUUACAGAUUAAAUUGUGAGCAUAUUCAGAUACAUAUGUCGGUCUGGUGAGCAUAUUACAGUCUUCACCAGAUGCAUUUGUGUUUCGUAAAAAUGCAUUGAUGCUAUGUGGAGAUUACUCUUGCACUGUUUUUCUACUAUCUUGUUGUUUCUCUGUUUUUGCAUUUUAAGUUCCCAAAUGCUUAGAUAGUUAAUGCAGUGUUUUAAGUUCACAUUUUAAGUUUCUCUGUUUUUGCAUUUUAAAUUCAGAAUGACACUUAUGAUUCCCAGGGGAAGAAGCGGUUUCCAAAUGAGGAAGGUUAGUUUAAUUUGCCAAGAAAAUAAAUAUAGUGGACAUUAAUUUGAUUAAUGUAUCUCCCAAUGUUAUUAGAAUACAACACGAAGAAGUCAGAUUUUGUCAAAGUACAGGUCGGAGAGAAAAGUGCCAGGAAGAAAAUGGAAGUAGCAGCCAAAAUCUGACAAGAUGCAAAGGCCCAUAUCGAGUAUGUACUGCAGUCAAAGGGAUUCAGUUCAGUUAUUAAAAUUUCUUGGCAUCUAAAUUACUUAUCAAAUGGUUUUUACUGAGUUGGAGAAGACCUUGUUGCUUCGAUUUUAUCCUGCCAGCAACAAAUUGGAUUGUUUAUUUUAUAUGAAUGCAUUAUUAUUCCCCUCUCAUCAGUUGGAAGGCUUUUAGGACUCGCUGAUCUCUCUUAAAUCUAACUGACUAGCUGAUCUUCAUUUGCCUAUAAAGGGAGGAUGGCGGUAAUAGAUAUAAAAAAGAACGAGAAGAAUUUCAUUAGCUCUAGGUAAAAUUCAUUGUUCAGUUCAAGAUGAACCAGUUUGUAGGUUUUCAAUUGUAUAACCGUAGAAGCUUGGUUCUAAUAAACUGGUUUGCUUUUGCCGAAUUAAGCUGGUUGUGGUGGGACAGUAGAAUCCCAUGCGUCCACUAGCAGCUAUAGCUCCCAAAUAUGAUUUGCGUCGUCUCAAUUUGGAGAACACUAGCAGCUAUAGCUCCCAAAUAUGAUUUGCGUCGUCUCAAUUUGGAGUGGACUUCGUUAGUGCAGCUAGCUAGCAUAUUUUGGAUAAUAUGGAUCGACACUGUGCUCUUGGUUGUUAAUUUAGCAACCUAAUUUGUUCAUAGAAGUUUACAAAGUUGUAUGCCUUCAAGAUUGUAGCCAAUUAACAUGCAUGCAUCUAUAUGACUCUUCA